GAUGAACGCUAGCGGCAGGCCUAAUACAUGCAAGUCGAACGGGAUCCAGAUCAAAGCUUGCUUUGGUCUGGUGAGAGUGGCGCACGGGUGCGUAACGCGUGAGCAACCUACCCUUGUCAGGGGGAUAGCCCGGCGAAAGUCGGAUUAAUACCGCAUGACAUCAUUGAGAGGCAUCUUUCGAUGAUCAAAGAUUUAUCGGACAAGGAUGGGCUCGCGUGACAUUAGCUAGUUGGUAAGGUAACGGCUUACCAAGGCUGCGAUGUCUAGGGGCUCUGAGAGGAGAAUCCCCCACACUGGUACUGAGACACGGACCAGACUCCUACGGGAGGCAGCAGUGAGGAAUAUUGGUCAAUGGACGGAAGUCUGAACCAGCCAUGCCGCGUGCAGGAAGACGGCCCUAUGGGUUGUAAACUGCUUUUAUACGGGAACAAACGUCGGUACGUGUACCGGUCUGAGUGUACCGUAAGAAUAAGGAUCGGCUAACUCCGUG
rnacentral:rRNA from 1 species